rnacentral:rRNA from 1 species
AGUGAACGCUGGCGGUAGGCCUAACACAUGCAAGUCGAACGGCAGCACAGUAAGAGCUUGUUCUUACGGGUGGCGAGUGGCGGACGGGUGAGGAAUACAUCGGAAUCUACUUUUUCGUGGGGGAUAACGUAGGGAAACUUACGCCAAUACCGCAUACGACCUACGGGUGAAAGCAGCGGACCUUCGGACCUCGCGUGAUCCAAUGAGCCGAUGUCGGAUUAGCUAGUUGGCGGGGUAAAGGCCCACCAAGGCGACGAUCCGUAGCUGGUCUGAGAGGAUGAUCAGUCACACUGGAACUGAGACACGGUCCAGACUCCUACGGGAGGCAGCAGUGGGGAAUAUUGGACAAUGGGCGAAAGCCUGAUCCAGCCAUACCGCGUGGGUGAAGAAGGCCUUCGGGUUGUAAAGCACUUUUAUUGGGAAGGAAGAGCAGCAGGUUAAUACCCCGCUGUUCUGACGUUACCAAAAGAAUAAGCACCGGCUAACUUCGUG